rnacentral:rRNA from 1 species
UUCCGGUUGAUCCUGCCGGAGGUCAUUGCUAUUGGGGUUCGAUUUAGCCAUGCUAGUUGCACGAAUUUAGAUUCGUGGCGAAAAGCUCCGUAACACGUGGUCAAACUACCCUAUGGAUUGAAAUAACCUCGGGAAACUGAGGAUAAUGUCAAAUAGGGGUCUUAUGCUGGAAUGCUUAGACCUUGAAAUGCUCCGGCGCCAUAGGAUGUGACUGCGGCCGAUUAGGUAGACGGUGGGGUAACGGCCCACCGUGCCGAUAAUCGGUACGAGUUGUGAGAGCAAGAGCCCGGAGACGGAAUCUGAGACAAGAUUCCGGGCCCUACGGGGCGCAGCAGGCGCGAAAACUUUACACUGCACGACAGUGCGAUAAGGGAACCCCAAGUGCGAGGGCAUACAGUCCUCGCUUUUGUGUACCGUAAGGUGGUACACGAAUAAGGGCUGGGCAAGACCGGUGCCAGCCGCCGCGGUAAUACCGGCAGCUCAAGUGAUGACCGCUAUUAUUGGGCCUAAAGCGUCCGUAGCUGGCCGCACAGGUCCGUUGGGAAAUCUGCUCGCUUAACGAGCAGGCGUCCAACGGAAACCGUGCGGCUUGGGACCGGGAGGUCUGGAGGGUACGUCCGGGGUAGGAGUGAAAUCCUGUAAUCCUAGACGGACCACCGAUGGCGAAAGCACUCCAGAAGAACGGAUCCGACAGUGAGGGACGAAAGCUAGGGUCUCGAACCGGAUUAGAUACCCGGGUAGUCCUAGCUGUAAACGAUGCUCGCUAGGUGUGACACUGGCUACGAGCCAGUGUUGUGCCGUAGGGAAGCCGUGAAGCGAGCCGCCUGGGAAGUACGUCCGCAAGGAUGAAACUUAAAGGAAUUGGCGGGGGAGCACUACAACCGGAGGAGCCUGCGGUUUAAUUGGA